rfam:Pan troglodytes isolate Yerkes chimp pedigree #C0471 (Clint) chromosome 16, whole genome shotgun sequence.
GCUGGGCACAGUGGCGUGUGCCUGUAGUCCAAGCUACUUGGGAGGCUGAGGUGGAAGAAUCGCUUGAGCUCAGGAAUUCGAGACUGCAGUGAGCUAUGAUCACAGCCACUGCACUACUCCAGCCUUAGCGACAGAGUGAGACCCUGUCUCAA